AAGUUUGGGAGAACAUUUUACCUGCAAAUCAUUUACCUCGAAUCAAUCGUUAAAAUGAGAAUUCGAGCUAUGCAGCAAAUUAAGUGCUCCAUAUCCCUAUAUUACUGCACGUUUACAUUAAAUAUUAUGAAUUUUAUUUAAGCACGUAUUGUAUAUAUUAUGCUAAUCUAUUUGGAGCAUUGAAUUAAACGUUUCUUUUCUUUUAAAUUACAUUAAAUAAUUAUAUAAUCCAACUAUGAUAAUCAGUUUAAUAAUUAGUUUAAUAAAUAGUUUGAAGAAUUAUUUAAACCGGUAUAACGUUGACAGGAUGACGUAAACGUACACUGAAUAUUCGACGCAUAAUUUAAAAGUGUUCCCUGGCUAACACCGAAAUACGGUGAAGCUUUUGAUCGUCCCUACGCGUUGAAAUAUUUUGCAAAAUAUUCCUCCCUCAUGUUCAUUUCAAAUCUCUUUGAUCAAUGUUCCGCGUGCAACGUCGGACGACCCUUCAAUAAAUCUAUCCGUCGAUAAAUGUAUAUUCAUCGAGAAGUUCAUUUCUCCCCAAUCCAUAUUCAAAUAAGCCUUUCCGAGUCGUUGGAUCGCGUAAUAGGAAAUUUUGAUUGACUUACGUAAAUGGUGUCCAAAUAAAAUACGUAAAAGAGAUAAAGAUGAUAUUAGGAGAAAAAAAGUGACAAAUGAUUUUAUAUGAAUCCAUAUUCUUUACUAAUGCGUUAUAAAAAAAGACAGAUGUGUAAAAAAGAGAUUGUUAUCUUAAGUAAUAGAAAAAGAACAGAAAAUAAUUUUACAAGAAAAACCGUCAAACAAUGUUCUUUGCAGCAAAUUAAUUCUUAUUGAUACAUAUUCUUAACGACCAAAACAGGAAGAAACAUAUUUGGCAAUUUUCAGAAUUCUUUAAUUAAUUUCUAAUUUCAAAUUGUACAGAGAAAGAGGGAAAAAAAAAACGACAGAAAAGCAUAGGAGAAAAGGGAUAAUGAUACAUCCAAUUAAUAGAGAUCAUUAGAGAAAUUCAUUUCCUCGUAGCUUAGGACCAUCUUGUUUCUUUCGAAAUAUUGAUUAAUCUACGCCAAGUGUAACAACCCUGUGCAGAGGGCGCCCUCGUGGUUGUUUGACUAACAACCCAAAGCGAUGUGCGAGGUAUAAAUACCGCCGUUCGGCGGACGGGGAUGAAGUUGCAGGUCAUUCCUUCGGUGGUUGUCGAACCAGUAAUACGCGAGCGAGUGUGGUACUACAAAUAUUCGUUCGUGCAUACUUCAUACGUUUCAGAGAUCCGUUAUACAAGUAAUUCAGGCGGUGGAAACAAUUUCUUCAUUCUUACUGGUCAUUUGCUUAUACUAUCAAUGUAACGUAAAUUUGUUAGUAGUCAUGAGUUUGUGAUUUAUUAUAAAAUUUCAAGUAUACCUUAUGGAAAUGAAAGUGAUUUUCGUGAUCAAUACUAUAUAAACUAUUGUUUGCUGCAUUAUGGAAAAGAAAUAUACUAAACUAACCGAAGACGAAAGCAGUUCCAAUAGCUUGGAUGUAUUGCAAAGGAGCCGAACUGACUUAUAUUUGAAUUGUAAUUCCAAAGAAGAACAACGCUCCACCAGAUAAUAAAACAUUGCACAUCCAAAGUGAAACACAUUUCCGUUGACACUUUCUGUUCCUCCGUACAUCCGACGAUACGUCUUACAUGGAUAGUACAAAUGCCAGACCAUCAACGAGAUUAAUAUAUGGAAACAUUUUCCUUUUUACAUUUAUGUUUAAAUGGAAAAUCAAUCAAUGCUGUAUUUAUUUAAUGGUAAGAUAUUUUAGAGAUUAUAUGCAGCCGAAGAAAGUAUUAUUAUUUAUAAGUGAAUUUAUCUCAAAUAUUCUAAAUGGUAUGAAUCCCAAAUUGGAGUAAUUAUCCGGUAACUUCUAUAAUAUGGAAAUGGUAUUUUCUAAUAAAUCUUAUACAAAUAUAGUGCUAAAUUUAAAGAAUAUUAAUGGAAUAAUAGAAUGAUUAGUGAUAAAGAUGUUUCAAUCGUUUCUAUUAUUUGUAAAGCUGUUGUUUGGCACGUAUGAUAGCUAGGGAUUAUUUAUCGUAUGAGACACACUUGCGUAUUACUGGGUCGAAAAUCACGGAAGGAAUGACUUACCCUAGUUAAAUUGGUCACGUCAUAACGAUAGAAGACCAAGCUUCCUAGAUUCUAAUUCUCUAACUAGAACGCAUGGGGAUAAAUAUUUCCCCUCUCCUAUAGUUACGUAAUUAUAUUUGUAUCUUUAUGUAAAUAUUAUACUCUAUGUCUCGUUACAUUUAUGGUUUCCUAAUAUUACCUUCCCCUCUUUCCCGUGUUUCCCCACCGAGAGAACCACUGAGUUAGUCAAUAAAGAAAUGGUCAAAUAAACAAGUUAUAUAAAAAGUAUAUCAGUCGAUUUUACGAAGAAGAACUUCGUUCACAACAGUCUGAGAGCUUUUCUAAACCACUUAAAGAGAGUAAUAAGGACUUGUCUGCAAUGGUACGCGAGUACGCCUCGUACGAUGCAGCGAUAUUUGAUGGAGUGAACAAGCAAUCAUGAAACACAGGAGAGAUUUGCGAAGCUGUACUCGUUUCGUAUCGAAACUUCUAGUGAAACAGAUUGCUCCCUAGACAAAUAAGCCAGAAAAUCAGAGACGUAAUACUCUUUUGGUACAUAUCGUUUCGUGAUAUCGUAAUAUACAAUUUGAGACUACCAACGCUUUUAAUUACUCAUUUCUUUUUCAUUAAGAGAA